rnacentral:rRNA from 1 species
AGGACGAACGCUGGCGGCGUGCUUAACACAUGCAAGUCGAACGGGGUCCAACCAGUCGCAAGACUGGGGAAGACUUAGUGGCGAACGGGUGAGUAACACGUGAGCAACCUGCCCCGAAGACCGGGAUAACAGCGGGAAACCGCUGCUAAUACCGGAUGCCCCCACCGGGCCGCAUGACCUGGUGAGGAAAUGGAUUCCGCUUCGGGAGGGACUCGCGGCCUAUCAGCUUGUUGGUGGGGUAAUGGCCUACCAAGGCGUCGACGGGUAGCUGGUCUGAGAGGACGAUCAGCCACACUGGGACUGAGACACGGCCCAGACUCCUACGGGAGGCAGCAGUGGGGGAAUCUUGCGCAAUGGGCGAAAGCCUGACGCAGCAACGCCGCGUGAGGGACGACGGCCUUCGGGUGUAACCGCUUUCACUCAUGACGAAGCUUUUUGUGUACGGUAGUGGGAGAAGAAGCCCGGCUAACUUCGCGCCAGCAGCCGCGGU